rnacentral:lncRNA from 1 species
UCUCACUGUCACCCAGGCUGGAGUGCAAGGGUGUAGUAAUCAUAGCUCACUGCAGCCUCAACCUCCCAGGCUCAAGUGAGCCCCCUGGCUCAGCCUCCCAAGUAGCUGGGACUAUAGGUGCAUGCCACCACACCUAGCUAAUUUUUUUUUUUUUUUUUUUAGUAGAAACAGGGCCUCAUUAUGUUGCCCAGGCUGGUCUCAAACUUCCGAGCUCAAGCAGUCCUCCUCCCUUAGCCUC